rnacentral:rRNA from 1 species
GAACCCACUAUUGUUGAAAAAAUAGGGGAUGAGCUGUGGAUCGGAGUGAAAGGCUAAUCAAAACUGGAGAUAGCUGGUUCUCCCCGAAAUGCAUUGAGGUGCAGCCUCGGAUGAUCGUCGUUGGCGGUAGAGCACUGACAGGGUUAGGGGCCGCAAGGUUACCAACCCCUUUCAAACUCCGAAUUCCAAUGAAUGUAGUCCGGGAGUGAGACGGCGGGAGAUAAGUUUCGUCGUCGAGAGGGAAAAAGCCCAGACUGCCGGCUAAGGCCCCCAAGUGCAUGCUAAGUGGUCAAGGAAGUGGGGAAACCCAGACAACCAGGAGGUUGGCUUAGAAGCAGCCAUCCUUUAAAGAAAGCGUAACAGCUCACUGGUCAAGUUUCUCUGCGCCGUAAAUAUAACGGGGCUAAGCAUGCCGCCGAAGCCGCAGACUUCCGCAAGGGAGUGGUAGGGGAGCGUUCCAGCUGCAGUGAAGGGGAUCCGGCAAGGGUUCUUGGAGCGGCUGGAAGAGAGAAUGCUGACAUGAGUAGCGAUAAAGGAGGUGAAAAUCCUCCUCGCCGAAAACCCAAGGGUUCCUGUCUCAAGGACAAUCUGGGCAGGGUUAGUCGGCCCCUAAGGCAAAGCCGAAAGGCGCAGCCGAUGGGAAGCAGGCGAAUAUUCCUGCACCGCCGCUGUGGAGCUGAGCAAGGACGGAGAAGGGUAGAUCAGCCGGUUAUUGGAUUCCGGUAUGCCCCUGUAGGUAGGCCGCGUAGGAAUAAAACGCGCGGUCGAAGCCGAGGGGGGUGUCGCAAGUGGUUGAUCCCAUGCUUCCAAGAAAAGCUGCGUACAGUGAUGAAACAGAGGCGACCGUACCCCAAACCGCCACAGGUGGGUGGGUGGAGAACACUAAGGCGCUUGAGAGAACUCGGGUUAAGGAACUAGGCAAAUUGACACCGUAACUUCGGAAUAAGGUGUGCCCCUGGCGGUGACGGGACUUGCUCCCAGAGCUACCGGGGGUCGCAGCUAAGCGGCGGUAGCGACUGUUUACCAAAAACACAGGCCUCUGCGAAGCCGUAAGGCGAUGUAUAGGGGCUGACGCCUGCCCGGUGCCGGAAGGUUAAGAGGAGCCGUAAGCGCAUGCGAAGCGGUGAAUCGAAGCCCCGGUAAACGGCGGCCGUAACNAUAACGGUCCUAAGGUAGCGAAAUUCCUUGUCNGGUAAGUUCUGACCCGCAUGAAUGGCGUAACGAUUACGGUCCUAAGGUAGCGAAAUUCCUUGUCGGGUAAGUUCCGACCUGCACGAAUGGCGUAACGAUGGCCAUCCUAAGGUAGCGAAAUUCCUUGUCGGGUAAGUUCCGACCUGCACGAAUGGCGUAACGACUUCCGCACUGUCUCGACCCGAGACUCAGCGAAAUUGACAUGGGGGUGAAGAUGCCUCCUACCCGUGGAAAGACGGAAAGACCCUGUGAACCUUUACUCUAACUUGGCAGUGGCAUUCGGUGUAAUUUGUGUAGGAUAGGUGGGAGGCUUUGAUAUCGGGACGCCAGUCUCGGUGGAGCCGCUGUUGAAAUACCACCCUGAUUAUUCUGGCUGCCUAACCCGCGAUGCGGGGACCCUGCCUGGUGGGGAGUUUGACUGGGGCGGUCGCCUCCCAAAAUGUAACGGAGGCGCACAAAGGUCCCCUCAGCUUGAUUGGAAACCAAGCGCAGAGUGCAAUGGCAUAAGGGGGCUUGACUGCGAGANGGACACNUCGAGCAGGUNNGAUAANNAGGUCAUAGUGAUCCGGCGGUUCCGAGUGGAAGGGCCGUCGCUCAACGAAUAAAAGGUACUCCG